rnacentral:rRNA from 1 species
UGCCAGCCGCCGCGGUAAUACGAGGGGUGCAAGCGUUAAUCGGAAUUACUGGGCGUAAAGCGUGCGUAGGUGGUUUGUUAAGCAAGAUGUGAAAGCCCCGGGCUCAACCUGGGAACUGCAUUUUGAACUGGCAGACUAGAGUUUUGUAGAGGGUAGUGGAAUUUCCAGUGUAGCGGUGAAAUGCGUAGAGAUUGGAAGGAACAUCAGUGGCGAAGGCGGCUACCUGGGAUGCGACUGACGCUCAUGCACGAAAGCGUGGGGAGCAAACAGGAUUAGAUA